rnacentral:lncRNA from 1 species
CGGACUUCCCGCUUUGCCCUCAAACCUACCUAUCACCCUCGAUGCCUGCUGAAAGAUCUUGGAUUGGGGACCCUGCCUGGCACCAGCCCUGACAGGGACCUCGCGGGACCUCUGCAGGCAGAACACGUAGUGUUAACAGAAGUGUGCACGCGCAUGUAUUUCCACACUCAGGAAGAGGGCACUGAUGGAAGAGGAGAGAGAGAAGAAACGGAAGGACAAAGUAAGAAGUGAUGAAGAAACGUCGAAGCUUUGAGAUGAUGGGAAGAAGAAACUUGGCGAUAAGGAAGGAAGGACCAGGGGCGCUGCUGUCUGCAGAGGGUGGUGGUGUAGUUCCCACUUACCUGACCUGAGCAGCACGGCUCGGUACAGCCCGGUGGCCUCGGCGGGCGCACUGGCCCACUCGCCCAGCUUCUGCGCCAUGCCCUGCGCUGUGUAUCCCCACCGCGGAGCCUGGACUGAGGGCUUGAGCAGCUUCUCACUGAUAGUGACGCGUCCGGCUGCUCCACCCGCAGGGGAUCUGGUUACCGUGGGCUGUGUGCGAGAUCCAGCCUGCUUCCCAGAUCUACGUGGGGUGUGCGGUGGACCAAGGGGCACAGGCAGUCUCUGUGCCCCGGGAAGCGGGAGGGUGUCCAGACAUUUUUGCAGCAUCACACAGAGCACUACCAGCCUGGCCUCCUGCUCACCUCACCCAGGUCUUGGCCACUGACCUCUGUGAAAGCUGCAAGCAGGUACGGGAUUAGGAAGCGUUAUUCCUUGGAUCUGUUCCCAGCUGAGCUGGCAAAGAGAAGCCCAGGGUCCUCAUCUGAGACGCGCAGGGAUCCAUAGUUCCCCACUCACACGGUUACAAGGUGAGGCGUGGCAGGUAUAAGAGGGAGUGCUUGGAAUCUGCCAGGUUCGGAGCAGACACUAUGCACCGGUACUUCUAAAGAUGACGUGUGAUCUGAGGAUGUUGCUCACUUGGUAGAGUGCUUACGUGAAGCCCUGGGUUUGAGACCCAGCAUCGCAUAAAACUGGGGAUGGUGAUGUACAUCUGUUACCCUAGAACUUAAGAAGUGGAGGCAGGAGGAUCAAGAGUUCAAGGUCUUCCCCAGCUACAUAGCUAGUUUGAGGCCACAAGAGGUGUCUUAGAACACAAGCAAGUAAACAAACACACCACAAAGAUUUGAGUGGUAAUGUGAGGCUGGGGCAAUGCUGGGGUAGGGAAAAAGUCAGUAGGACUUCUCAAGGCCGAACUGAUUUCUCUGGUUUUGUGGUGUCUCUUAAACAGCCAGAGGAGGAGACCAAUGGAAGAGUCUGAAGGUGGAUGGGGCAAAAUCCCACCAUGCAGUUGUGGAAUAUUGGAGAUGUCCACAGCCUUGGUUACUCACUCUGCCAGCACUGGGCUGCUCUGCAUCUAAAACAAGAUGAGAUCUGGUUCAUUUACUCUUUAUGAAGUUGAGUCUCUUAGCAUUCUGAUUUUACAGAGGAGUGCUUGCCACAGACACAGUCCUGAGUUUAUGAGUCCAGAACCCAUAUAAGGCUGGGUAUAGUGGCAUACAUUUGUAGUUCCAGUGCCAGGAGGUGGAGACAGAUUUGUGGGUCAGGCUGGCCAGUGAGUCUAAUUGACUUAGUGAGCUGCAGAUUCAAGGAGACAUCCCUGAGGAUAGCUCAGCUGGUGACAAUGCUUGCCUCCAAGUCAAACCGCUUAAGUUUGAUCUCAGGGACUCACUCAGUGGAAGGAGCUAAUUGUCCUUUGACAUCCACAUGUGACCGCCACAGCCAUGGCACAUGUGUUCCUCCCUUCAAUCCCAUUUCCCCUCCAAAUCGCUGAGUCUUUGGCCACAGAGAGGACUGAUAGGUAAGGACACACCAGAAGCAGCAUCAGAUUCCAUUACAGAUGGUCGUGAGCCACCAUGUGGUUGCUGGGAAUUGAACUCAGGACCUCUGGAAGAGCAGUCAGUGCUCUUAACCGCUGAGCCAUCUCUCCAGCCCUCAUUAUAAUAUUUUGAAUAUGUGUGCAUUUACAUGAUGUAUUUUCUUUUAUGUGUGUGGGUGCUUGUGGAGGUCAGAUCCCUUGGAGUUAUAGGUCAAUGUGAGCCAUCCUAUGUGAGUGAUGGGAACUGAACACAGGUCCCCUGCAAGAAUAACAACUGUUCUUAACAUGAGUCAUUUCCCAACGUUUCUUCAACAACAACUAGGACAACAACAACAACAACAACAAGAGGAAUGUAUGUAGUAGCUUUCUUUUGCUAACUCAAGGCAAACAAUUGAAAGUAGGGAGAUUUGCCAACUUGAUCCAUAUUUUUCACCUUCCAUCCCAGGAAUGCCACCAAUUAUGACUCCAUCGAUAGACCAAUCUACCCAGGAAGUGAGUCCUCAUGGCCUAAAGUGGGGGAAGUGACCUCCCCAAAGCCUCACACUCACUGUUAUGACCACUGGGACCAAGCUUUGGACACAUAAGCUUUUGCAGAGUAUAGGGGGGCCCUCCACAUUUAAAAGUUAAGAAGACAGUACAAAGAGUUUCUUGUAUUCCACACCCAGUGUCCCUGUCCUUAACAUCAUAAUGUACAUAGGGCAGGCAAGAUGACUCAGCAGGCAAGGGCACUUGAAGCCAAGCUUGAGGACUCCCCGACAUGACUCCUACUAGCUGCCGUAUGAUCUCUACAAACAUGCUAUGGCAUGCAUACCCUCCUACAAAGAAGUAAAUAAAUAAGUGUAAUCAAAUGC